UUUCUCUCUCUCUCUCUCUCUCUCUCUCUCUCUCUCUCUCUCUCACACACACACAUUCCCCAUUUUCACAGAGAGCAGACCUUAAUCUUGAUCUCGCCAUUGCCGAAAUUUUCCAGUAGAAUGAAAGAAAUUUCACUUGAACCUUAAUCAUUGAUGAGAAAGAGAGAAAGAGAGGGGCAUAAGAUCAUGGUUUUCAAGAAUCUGAGAGACGAUGAGUAUCUUCUCUACGUUGCCAUUUGCAUGGUGGGUUUGCCCGUCGAGGUUCAGGUCAAGGAUGGAUCUUUAUACUCUGGGAUCCUUCACACUGACUCCUUUGAUAAGAAUUGUGGUAAAUUUAAUUAGAUUCUUAUCAUUUGAGUGGAGAUCUCAACUGGGAUUGGCUUCUCUUUCUCGGAUCCUACUUUUUCAGAAAUGGGUUUUGGUUAUUGGAUCCAAAUCUCAAAUGGGUUUUUGUCAUUUGGGAAAUUUCAUUAUUUUGAUUGUUGUGUUGAAUGUGAUUUUACCGAUUGCAGUAUGAAUUAAAUGCAUUGUGUGUUCUUUUUUUUAAUGAUUCUCUUGCAUUGAAUUGAUUAUUUAUUUCACUAACAUUGAGGCCAACUUUUUAUUUGCAACAGUAUGUAUUCAUUUGCAUCAUUUUAUUUGUUAGCUCCAUCACCUAACAGUUGGGCAUCCAAUUUUAUGUGGUCAUAUGAUAACCCAUUUUUAUCUGACACGGUAGGAACUGUAACUUUUCUCUAGGAGAGGUAAUUAGUUUUUUUGGUAUGCAUGAUAUAAAUCUUUUAUUUUACUCAGGCUUCAGCAAAGAAAGCGAUAGAUUUCUUGCCAUUUCUACAAAAAAUUAGAAGGCUUCCCGCUAUGGUUGAAUAUGUCCUUAGUGGACAUCGUUUUAAAUUUCUUAUUCCCAAGGAAACUUGCAGCAUUGCUUUCACAUUCUCUGGUGUCAGGUGCCCAGGUCGAGAUGAGCCCUUUUCAGAUGAAGCUAUUGCAUUAAUGAGAAGGAAGAUAAUGCAGCGGGAAGUAGAGAUUGAAGUUGAAACAGUUGAUAGAGCUGGCACUUUCCUGGGUUCUCUAUGGGAGUCUAAGACAAAUAUGGUCGUGGCUCUUCUCCAAGCUGGAUUGGCAAAGCUUCAAAAUUCCUUCGCUUCAGUCAGGAUUCCAGAUGCCCACCUUCUUGCACGGGCUGAACAAUCGGCAAUAUAGCAGAGACUGAAGGUGUGGGAGAACUAUGUUGAAGGACAGGAAGUUGCUAAUGGAUCUUCCACCAAUUCAAAACAGAAGGAUGUGCUCGAGAGUUUAAAUGGU